CAAGUCGAACGAUUAAAGCUCCCUUCGGGGAGUGCAUAAAGUGGCGCACGGGUGAGCAACACGUAAGUAAUCUACCUUCGAGUGGGGAAUAACCCGGGGAAACCCGAGCUAAUACCGCAUAACGCAGCGGCAUCGCAAGAUGACAGUUGUUAAAGGAGCAAUCCGCUUGAAGAGGAGCUUGCGGCAGAUUAGCUAGUUGGUAAGGUAAUGGCUUACCAAGGCUACGAUCUGUAUCCGGUCUAAGAGGACGGUCGGACACACUGACACUGAAUAACGGGUCAGACUCCUACGGGAGGCAGCAGUCGGGAAUUUUGGGCAAUGGGGGAAACCCUGACCCAGCAACGCCGCGUGAAGGAUGAAGUAUUUCGGUAUGUAAACUUCGAAAGAAUGGGAAGAAUAAAUGACGGUACCAUUUAUAAGCUCCGGCUAACUACGUGCCAGCAGCCGCGGUAAUACGUAGGGAGCAAGCGUUGUUCGGAUUUACUGGGCGUAAAGGGCGCGUAGGCGGCGCGGUAAGUCACUUGUGAAAUCUCUGAGCUUAACUCAGAACGGCCAAGUGAUACUGCAGUGCUAGAGUGCAGAAGGGGCAAUCGGAAUUCUUGGUGUAGCGGUGAAAUGCGUAGAUAUCAAGAGGAACACCUGAGGUGAAGACGGGUUGCUAGGCUGACACUGACGCUGAGGCGCGAAAGCCAGGGGAGCAAACGGGAUUAGAUACCCCGGUAGUCCUGGCCCUAAACGAUGAAUACUUGGUGUCUGGAGUUCUAAUACUCCGGGUGCCGUCGCUAACGUUUUUAGUAUUCCGCCUGGGGAGUACGCUCGCAAGAGUGAAACUC
rnacentral:rRNA from 1 species